rnacentral:tRNA from 1 species
GGAGGGUUGCGCCGAACGGUAAGGCAGCAGUUUGCUAAACUGCGAGGAUCUAAAAGUCCUCUGUGGGUUCGACUCCCACACCCUCCG